GGGCUAACUCAACAGCUUUAUUAUGUAAAGAAAGGGCUAAAAUUCCACUUGUUAGCACAUCAACAAGUGCAUUAAUUGCUGGGUUCUUUGGGGGUUGACACCUAGCAAGCAAGGUGUCAAGCUGCUCCUUAUUUUAUUUGUAUUCCAAACCUUGUCAAUCGAUUCUUCCUUGCUGCAGUUUUAAUUUUUGAGUUAAAACAGAGAGAAUAGAGAGGGAGGG
rnacentral:lncRNA from 1 species